rnacentral:rRNA from 1 species
UGUAAGCGUAUACCAAAGUUGUUGCAGUUAAAACGCUCGUAGUCGGAAUUUGGCAGUUCCGGAUGUGUGCACGUCGUGUGCGCACUUCGCGGGGAUUGCUUUUGUGGUCUUGCGUAGGAUGAGGCACUUUUAUUAGUGAACGUCCUCACGCAACCACUUUUUACUGUGAGAAAAUCAGAGUGCUCAAAGCAGGCAUUUGCCGUGAAUGUAAUAGCAUGGAAUAAUAGAAUAGGACUUGGUUCUAUUUUGUUGGUUUGUUGGGACUGAGUAAUGAUUAAGAGGGACAGUUGGGGGCAUUUGUAUUUCGGUGCUAGAGGUGAAAUUCUUAGAUUACCGAAAGACAAACUGCAGCGAAAGCGUCUGCCAAGGAUGUUUUCAUUGA